rnacentral:rRNA from 1 species
AUUGAACGCUGGCGGCAGGCCUAACACAUGCAAGUCGAGCGAGCGACGGACGGGUGAGUAAUGUAUGGGGACUGCCCGAUAGAGGGGGUUAACUACUGGAUACGGUGGCUAAUACCGCAUACUAUCGGAUAACCCAUAUGGGAUUAGCUAGUAGGUGGGGUAAAGGCUCACCUAGGGGACGAUCUCUAGCUGGACUGAGAGGCUGUUCAGCAACCUUGGGACUGUGACACGGCCCAGACUCCUACGGAGGCAACCGUGGGGAAGAUUGCACAAGGGGCGCAAGCCUGAGGCAGCCAUGCCGCGUGUAUGAAGAAGGCAUUAGGGUUGUAAAGUACUUUCAGCAGGGAGGCGUUACCCGCAGAAGAAGCACCGGCUAACUCCGUGCCAGCCGCCGCGGUAAUUC